rnacentral:rRNA from 1 species
AGCGAACGCUAGCGGCGGGCUUAACACAUGCAAGUCGCACGCUCUUCGGAGAGUGGCGAACGGGUGAGUAACACGUGGCUUACCUGCCCUUUGGAGGGGGAUAACCAGGGGAAACCCUGGCUAAUACCGCGUAUGGCCUACGGGUCAGAGCCUUCGGGCGCCAAAGGAUGGGGCCGCGGCCCAUUAUUUAAUCCUGGUUGGUGAGGUAAUGGCUCACCAAGGGUACGAUGGGUAGCUGGUCUGAGAGGACGAUCAGCCACACUGGGACUGAGACACGGCCCAGACUCCUACGGGAGGCAGCAGUGGGGAAUAUUGCGCAAUGGGCGAAAGCCUGACGCAGCCACGCCGCGUGAGUGAUGAAGGCCCUCGGGUUGUAAAGCUCUGUCGGGAGGGAAGAAGUUCUGACGGUACCUCCCAAGAAAGCACCGGCUAACUCCG